UAAUUUUAUGGUAAAACAAAAGUUUGUGGUACUUUGGUCGAGGGUUCGAUUCCCUC
rnacentral:tRNA from 1 species